AUAUGUGUGUGUAUUAAUAUACAAGGUCCAGCAGAAGGAAUACCUGCUUGAAUGUGGUUGUUAGGGUAACAUUAUGGGUGUAAUAAUUUAUAGUUUUUAAUUUGAACACUCACCUAAAAUGUCAUAUGCUGUGCUUCAGUGUAAUAUUGUUGUGUUACAGAAU